rnacentral:rRNA from 1 species
GACGAACGCUGGCGGCGUGCUUAACACAUGCAAGUCGAACGGAAAGGCCCUGCUUUUGUGGGGUGCUCGAGUGGCGAACGGGUGAGUAACACGUGAGUAACCUGCCCUUGACUUUGGGAUAACUUCAGGAAACUGGGGCUAAUACCGGAUAGGAGCUCCUGCUGCAUGGUGGGGGUUGGAAAGUUUCGGCGGUGGGGGAUGGACUCGCGGCUUAUCAGCUGGUUGGUGGGGUAGUGGCUUACCAAGGCUUUGACGGGUAGCCGGCCUGAGAGGGUGACCGGCCACAUUGGGACUGAGAUACGGCCCAGACUCCUACGGGAGGCAGCAGUGGGGAAUAUUGCACAAUGGGCGGAAGCCUGAUGCAGCAACGCCGCGUGCGGGAUGACGGCCUUCGGGUUGUAAACCGCUUUCGCCUGUGACGAAGCGUGAGUGACGGUAAUGGGUAAAGAAGCACCGGCUAACUACGUG